AUUGAACGCUGGCGGCAUGCCUUGCACAUGCAAGUCGAACGGCAGCAUGGGUGCUUGCACCUGAUGGCGAGUGGCGAACGGGUGAGUAAUGCAUCGGAACGUACCCGGAAGUGGGGGAUAACGUAGCGAAAGUUACGCUAAUACCGCAUAUUCUGUGAGCAGGAAAGUGGGGGAUCGCAAGACCUCGCGCUUCCGGAGCGGCCGAUGUCGGAUUAGCUAGUUGGCGGGGUAAAGGCCCACCAAGGCAACGAUCCGUAGCGGGUCUGAGAGGAUGAUCCGCCACACUGGGACUGAGACACGGCACAGACUCCUACGGGAGGCAGCAGUGGGGAAUUUUGGACAAUGGGGGCAACCCUGAUCCAGCCAUGCCGCGUGAGUGAAGAAGGCCUUCGGGUUGUAAAGCUCUUUCGGCCGGGAAGAAAUCGCACAGGUUAAUACCUUGUGUGGAUGACGGUACCGGAAUAAGAAGCACCGGCUAACUACGUGCCAGCAGCCGCCGUAACAC
rnacentral:rRNA from 1 species